CCUACGGGAGGCUGCAGUGGGGAAUAUUGGGCAAUGGGCGCAAGCCUGACCCAGCCAUGCCGCGUGAGUGAUGAAGGCCUUAGGGUUGUAAAGCUCUUUUAAUGGUGAAGAUGAUGACUGUAACCAUAGAAUAAGCACCGGCUAACUUCGUGCCAGCAGCCGCGGUAAUACGAAGGGUGCUAGCGUUGUUCGGAUUUACUGGGCGUAAAGGGCACGCAGGCGGCCAAACAAGUCAGAGGUGAAAUCCCAGGGCUCAACCCUGGAACUGCCUUUGA
rnacentral:rRNA from 1 species